rnacentral:rRNA from 1 species
UACGAAGGUCCCAAGCGUUGUUCGGAUUUACUGGGCGUAAAGCGUCUGUAGGCGGGAUGGUAAGUCAGAUGUGAAAUCCCGGGGCUCAACCCCGGAACUGCAUCCGAUACUGCCAACCUAGAGGGUCGGAGGGGAGUCUGGAAUUCUCGGUGUAGCAGUGAAAUGCGUAGAUAUCGAGAGGAACACUCGUGGCGAAGGCGAGACUCUGGACGACACCUGACGCUGAGAGACGAAGGCCAGGGUAGCAAAUGGG